UUGGUACCAUUUAAUUCCAUUUCG
rnacentral:miRNA from 1 species